rnacentral:rRNA from 1 species
AUGAACGCUAGCGGCAGGCUUAACACAUGCAAGUCGAGGGGUAUAGUAGCAAUACUAGAGACCGGCGCACGGGUGCGUAACGCGUAUGCAAUCUACCUUUUGCAGAGGGAUAGCCCAGAGAAAUUUGGAUUAAUACCUCAUAGUAUAGAUACUCGGCAUCGAGCUUCUAUUAAAUUCACAACGGCAAAAGAUGAGCAUGCGUCCCAUUAGCUAGUUGGGAAGGUAACGGCUUACCAAGGCAACGAUGGGUAGGGGUCCUGAGAGGGAGAUCCCCCACACUGGUACGGAGACACGGACCAGACUCCUACGGGAGGCAGCAGUGAGGAAUAUUGGUCAAGGGGCGCAAGCCUGAACCAGCCAUGCCGCGUGCAGGAUGACGGUCCUAUGGAUUGUAAACUGCUUUUAUACGAGAAGAAACACUACUUCGUGAAGUAGCUUGACGGUAUCGUAAGAAUAAGGAUCGGCUAACUCCGU